rnacentral:rRNA from 1 species
UUGUGAACUGCCAGGACACAUGAACAUCGACAUUUUGAACGCAUAUUGCGGUCCAUACUGACAAGUUUCUUAAUUGAAGCUGUAUGGACCACACAUGGUUGAGGGUCGUUAGUUUAAGCUAACCGAAUUGCUUUAGAAUUUAUUCUAUUGCUACACAAUGAGGUGUUGUCAUCCUUAAGUGUGUUGACAUCCCUUGAAUAUACCUUUGGUACACAAUUUUUAUAAAAUGUGUAAAUGUUAGUCUUGAAUAUCAAAGAAAACAAAUAUAUUAUAUAAAAUGAGAUUAAAGUAUAUGUUAUAAAAGGUCUUACCUACAACUGAAUAUAAAUAUAUAGUUCUAAUUGUACAUUUAAUUGAAAUAAAAAAAGUAAACUUUGAUAAAGCGUUUAAACCGCGUAGUGGCGUUUGCGCAAUCAUUUCGUUGAAAAUUUUCAAUUAGUUCGCACGCAUAUUUAAUAAAGAACAUAAUAUUAAUUUGGUUGUAUCAGGGUUUGAUUUUAGUAUACCGAUAACCCUACAUUUAUAUAUAUAAUAUAUUUAUUCAUAAUAAAUUUUCAAUUUUGAUAGAAAAAAGACGCUUUCCAAUCAGGUGGAUACAUUUAUACAAUAGUUUUAUAAAUUUUUGAU